rnacentral:tRNA from 2 species
GUAUUCUUAGCUCAGUUGGUUAGAGCAGACGGCUCAUAACCGUCCGGUCGUAGGUUCGAGUCCUACAGGGUACA